GUUGGGGCCUUCCGUCCGCGUUGAUAUGAUUGGUCGGCAGUGAGCAGUCCUCUUUUCCUCCUCUACAGCUCCGGCACCGUAGCCAUCAUGAAUGACACGGUAACCAUCCGGACCAGGAAGUUCAUGACAAACCGUCUGCUUCAGAGGAAACAGAUGGUCAUUGAUGUCCUUCAUCCUGGGAAGGCAACAGUACCAAAGACAGAAAUUCGGGAAAAGCUGGCCAAAAUGUACAAAACCACACCAGAUGUCAUCUUCGUAUUUGGAUUCAGAACACAUUUCGGUGGUGGCAAGACAACUGGCUUUGGCAUGAUCUAUGACUCCUUAGAUUAUGCAAAGAAGAAUGAGCCUAAACACAGACUUGCAAGACAUGGCCUUUAUGAGAAGAAAAAGACCUCCCGAAAACAGAGAAAGGAACGCAAGAACAGAAUGAAGAAGGUCAGGGGGACUGCAAAGGCCAAUGUUGGUGCUGGCAAAAAGGUAUGGUUCAUGGGUGGUACAGAAAUGUCGUUCAUAGUUAAGCUUAAUAUUGCCUGUGAGGAAGGGUUUUCUUUUCUAAUAAUUUUUCUUGGUGUUUUUCUUUUCCCUCUUCUGGACUGCAGAAGGUAACGUUUUGAGAAGCUCCAUAUCGUGGUAGUAUCCUAGAGUAGAUUGGCCCACCUCUUCUGCUCAUAGACUAGCAACUCCAACAUAAGGCCACAUUGAUUCAGGGAUCCGAGUGGUUAGGCCUCUUGUAGGCGUUUCCGUCUCGUGUUAAUUGACACAGGCCUCAAGGGAGAGCAGAUUGUGCUCCCGAGGAUUUCUUUUGUUUUUUUAACAUGGGCGCUAGUUUUUGAUUGCAGUUGGAUCAGUGUGGCCUGUGCUUUCCUCUCCAGUUCGCUGAGGUCACCGUGAUCUGAGUCGUAGCUUUACACUAGCUUUGCUAGCUGAUCUUGACUAGUCAGUGGAAUUACGGUGCUGGGUUGCUGAAUAAUCAAGUGUUUCUGUGAUUUUUCCCCUCUCCUCCUGUCUUGGAUUUCUUGUUCAACAGAAAUGAAAUAUCUAGCAGGUACUGCCGUUGGGCACGGUGUGGGGUGUGCCACCUUCACUGAGCUGGCUCUGAUGCUUUGCAUGUUGGCUUUUAGAUGAUGAUUUUCAUAGUAUGGCUUGUUAAAAUGCCAGUGCCUGUUUUUUAAGUAAUAUCUUAACUACCAGAAGGAAAAGCUUAUAUUUAUGUUGGAAACCCCAAAACGCAUGUUAGAUGGAGGGUGGUGUCUACUAAAGGAAGGUAGGUACCCUGGUCUCCUUUAAUUUGUAGUUUGAACUGGUAUUCAGGAAAUGGCUUUAGUGACCCAUCCUCUUUGGGUUGCUGGAAGACCAACAGAUUCUCAUGGGAAUGGCAUCUGAUCCAAACUGGUUGGUCCUAGCAAGUAGUUUUAAUAGAAAACUUUGAGGUAACCUACUGAAGCUUUGGGUACUAUCUUUAUCAAAUGCAUUUUAGUCACUAUUCCACAUGUAUAAUGAUGUGCAGUAGAUUAAGUGCAGAGGGGCUAAGUUUCUAUUGUUUUAGAAAUGUGCCCACUACCCACUGGCUGCCUGAGACUAUAGGAAUGAUUUACACUUUCCUACCAGCACUGGAGUUAAUGAACACUGCCUGUAGACACACUUCAUAGGUGUUGCAGAUUAGACCUGUUGACCAGUAGAAAUUUUGAUACAGAUUUGUCCUUUGAGCCAGAACUGAAGGCCAUAUGACAUUCUUUGCUAGCCUUUGUCCCUCUGGAGGUAUUCUGUGGAGCUGGUGAUCUCACUAGCACCACUUUGAAAGGCUAGCUCAAAAAUGGGCUUAAAAUAGUAAUAACGCUGAAUUUGUUUUGUUUGAUGUUAGAACAUCCUUUGUAUAGGGUGGAGCAAUGCCUUAGACCAAGGCAUUGGUGGUCAUAUAUUUGCAAAGUAGUUGGAAAGACUUGCCGAAUCAUGUAGACUCCAUUGGACUCUAAAGAUUCCCAAGUCAGGGUCCUCUGCUUGCCACAAGGCUAACCUGAGCCAAAGGGUCCAGCCUCAUGUGUCCUCCAUCCAUAUGCUGGUAGUAACAAUAUGGGUUUGGUACCACUCUGGCAUUAAUGCAGUUGCCUGUUAUUCAGGGAAGAUGCUGUCAGGUGGGUGAUGUGCAAGGAAUGAUUUGUACACAACCACAGAGAACAGUCAGCUGAGGUAUCUGGUUGCAUGUACUUCAGAUAAUUUUGAUAUUUAAAAAAGGACUACUAAUGAACUGUCUGUUUUCCUCCUUCCCAUUCCCCCUUUCCUGCCACUGAUUCAGUGAGUGGAGAUUGGAUACAGCCAAAGGAGUAGAUCUGCGGUGACUUGAUGUUCUGCUGUGAUGUGCAGAUUUCUGAGAGAACAAAUAAACUAACAAGCUUCUAUGUA